AGACCCGAAACCCGGUGAUCUAGCCAUGGGCAGGUUGAAGGUUGGGUAACACUAACUGGAGGACCGAACCGACUAAUGUUGAAAAAUUAGCGGAUGACCUGUGGCUGGGGGUGAAAGGCCAAUCAAACCGGGAGAUAGCUGGUUCUCCCCGAAAGCUAUUUAGGUAGCGCCUCGUGAAUUCAUCUCCGGGGGUAGAGCACUGUUUCGGCUAGGGGGCCAUCCCGGCUUACCAACCCGAUGCAAACUGCGAAUACCGGAGAAUGUUAUCACGGGAGACACACGGCGGGUGCUAACGUCCGUCGUGAAGAGGGAAACAACCCAGACCGCCAGCUAAGGUCCCAAAGUCAUGGUUAAGUGGGAAACGAUGUGGGAAGGCCCAGACAGCCAGGAUGUUGGCUUAGAAGCAGCCAUCAUUUAAAGAAAGCGUAAUAGCUCACUGGUCGAGUCGGCCUGCGCGGAAGAUGUAACGGGGCUAAACCAUGCACCGAAGCUGCGGCAGCGAACGUAUCACUUAAAGCGAUUCAGCGGGUUACGAUUGACGGAGCGAAGCGACGUCAAAGCG
rnacentral:rRNA from 2 species